rnacentral:rRNA from 1 species
GAUGAACGUUGGCGGUGUGCCUAAUACAUGCAAGUCGAACGGAGUUAAUAGCAAUAUUGACUUAGUGGCGAACGGGUGAGUAACGCGUUGGUGAUCUGCCUUGAAGUGUGGAAUAACGCUCCGAAAGGAGCGCUAAUACCGCAUGUGCUCUCAAUUUUUUAGAAACUUGAGAGGAAAGGAUUUAUUCGCUUCGAGAGGAGCCUGCGUCCCAUCAGCUGGUUGGUAGGGUAAAGGCCUACCAAGGCAAUGACGGGUAGGGGACCUGAGAGGGUGGCCCCCCACAAUGGAACUGAAACACGGUCCAUACACCUACGGGUGGCAGCAGUAGGGAAUAUUAGAAAUGGACGAAAGUCUGAUCUAGCAACACCGCGUGUGCGAAGAAGGCCUUCGGGUCGUAAAGCACUUUUUGGAAGGAAUAGGAAGGAAUGUACUUCCAGAAUAAGUCUCGGCUAACUACGUG